UUUGGUCCCAGUCGGGAUGUGUAUGAGAGACAACAGACCAAUGUUUCUCUCUCACAUUGAUAUUCUGACUCUGCCCCCUCCCCCCCUCUAAAAGUAAAUACAGAAGACCUUUAAAAAUAAGGAGUUAGCAGAUAAGAGUCAGUAAGAUUGUGGCAUAGACAGAGUGAGGGAUGGGCAGAAGCAGCUGCAUGCCAAGAUAAGGUGUUUGUAUUCCAUCUUGAACAUGCUGGGGAGCUGUCAGGCAUUUUAUGAUUACAAGUAAUAGGAUGUGAUUUAACAUUUAAGAUUUUUGCUGGCAAUCAUGAGAGGAUGAAUUAUGGGGGAUCACACUGUUGGAAGGCCAUUGCCCUAACUCACCUGAUGAGACCUCGAGUCUCUGUGGAGGGAACAAGCCUCCAGCAUUGGGAGUCGACCUCUAGUGGUAGUUCCUUAAACUUCAGGUGGAAACACAGGUCUGCAGAAGAGCUGAACCUGACUUUGGAUUCAUUUGCUAGGCCCAAGGUGGCUCAGAGGUGAGGCUUUGGUUUGGUGGUGUCAGGCACAGCAUGCACUACCCUCAGGUUCCCUUUUUUUGUUUAGCAGGUGGCCAAUAAAAAUUACUAGAACUUUGAAAAAAAUCAAUGUUUUAAGGAAGUUUGUGGUAAUUAUUAGGGCAUCCCUAGAAAAUGAACACAGAAGGGUUCUUAUAGAGUAAAUUAGUGAACACAGGUGAAGCACUUAGGAAAUUGACACAGAGUGUUUUCUAAGUGUGUGCUUUCAGUGACCCCGAGUUACAUGACUGGUAAAUAAUGGGGCCAGUUAAACUCAGACCGUCAUGCAAUACUAACUUUGCAAAAUGGGAAAUAUCUGUAUCUCAAUAAAA